GAUAUUGGUCAAUGGGGGGAACCCUGAACCAGCGACACCGCGUGAGGGAAGAAUGUUUUCGCAUCUUAAACCUUUUUUGUCGGGGACGAUAAUGCCGGUACCAGAUGAAGAAGCUACGGCUAACCACGUGCGAGCAGCCGCGGUAAUACGUAGGCGGCAAGCGUUGUCCGGAAUUACUGGGUGUAAGGGGAGCGUAGGCGGGAAGGCAAGUUGAAUGUUAAAUCUAUCGGUUCAACCGAUAGCCGCGUUCAAAACUGUCUUUCUUGAGUGAAGUAGAGGCAAGCAGAAUUCCUAGUGUAGCGGUGAAAUGCGUAGAGAUUAGGAGGAAUACCAGUGGCGAAGGCGGCUUGCUGGGCUUUUACUGACGCUGAGGCUCGAAAGUGUGGGGAGCAAACA
rnacentral:rRNA from 1 species